rnacentral:rRNA from 1 species
ACUCCUACGGGAGGCAGCAGUCGGGAAUAUUGGACAAUGGGCGAAAGCCUGAUCCAGCAAUACCGCGUGUGUGAAGAAGGCCUGCGGGUUGUAAAGCACUUUCAGUUGGGAAGAUAAUGACGUUACCAACAGAAGAAGCACCGGCUAACUCCGUGCCAGCAGCCGCGGUAAUACGGAGGGUGCAAGCGUUAAUCGGAAUUACUGGGCGUAAAGCGCACGUAGGCGGUUUACUAAGUCGGAUGUGAAAUCCCCGGGCUCAACCUCGGGAACUGCACCCGCAUACUGGUAGACUAGAAAUUUGGGAGAGGUGAGUGGAAUUUCCGGUGUAGCGGUGAAAUGCAUAGAGAUCGGAAGGAACACCAGUGGCGAAGGCGACUCACUGGACCAAAAUUGACGCUGAGGUGCGAAAGCGUGGGUAGCAAAACAGGAUUAGAUACCCUGGUAGU